rnacentral:lncRNA from 1 species
CCCUUUUAGUCCCGAGAAGGAUUCAAAGACAUCAGUCCUAACUAGAAGCCAAGAGUCAGACUCGUAUCAGUGCAAAAGAACAGAGAUGUUUCUUUACUAAUAAUGCUCACAUUCGAGCAAGGAUACUACAAAAAGAAAAAAAGAAUUACAAAGAACACAGGAGAAAGCCUAAGAAGUCUAAACUUCAAGCUCGGCCCACCUCCUGGCUCGGCGCAGGAGUUGACGAUGGCGGAGCCGCUUCUCCCUUAGCGGCCAAAUUCCCCAGCUGAGCCGACAGCUGGGUCGCCAGUUCUUCCCCA